AGUGUGGCUUCACCAGCAGCGUUAGGUCCACACCCGGGAUCCGAACCUGUGAACCCCUGGCUGCAGAGCGCACAAACUUAACCACUAAGCCAUCAGGCCAGCUCUGUGUUUCCCACUUCAACCCCCAGGGGAACCCUAUCAGGGCGUGAUCCUCUUCACAGCUGAGGAAGCUGAGGCUCCCAGAUGAAGUCCUUUUCCUGCAUUCGCCCUGCUGGGGAAUUGGCGGAAGCAGGUGUGCACGCAGCCCCUCUGAUCCCAAGUCCGCGCGCACAGUCCCUGCAGAGCCCACCUCCCGCCCGGCGGAGGGAGGCCGUCCGGUCCUUGUUCCAGAAGCGUUUCUCAGAAGGAGCCCAGGCACGGCUGACACACAAGCCAGCCGCCGCUGUGGUCUGAAAAGGCAGGACGCUUCCUCACAACAACAAACAAGUUCUUAAAGCCUCUGGAAGCUCCCCCUCAACAGUGGAAACCCCCGGACCUUUGAAGGGAGAGUGAGAGUGAGUCCCCUCUAAACCCAGGACGACCCGGAAAUCCUGCUGACUGCCGGCAGCCGGGCUACAGGGCCCUACCGGGCUGUACAUCCACCGUCUGGAAGGUUGCUUGGGAGAUCUGCAGCCCUGGCGGAUGCAAAGGCCCUGUGGCCACCCUUCCUUCCUGUCCUUUAUCCAAAGCUUCGGGUGGAUGGAAUCACUGAAGUCCACAGGUCUUGGUGAAACCGAGUAGGCUCAGAUCCUGAGAGGUCGUCAAGUGGCGUGGAGUUGAGGCACAGUGCAUUCUCAUAGUGGCCACUUACAACACCAAUUAAAAUUAUGAAUACUGUGUGCCGGACAGAAAAACAAGGUCAACAGCCCGAAGCCUGGAUCCUGACUCUUCAUCUUGUGCAGUGGCUCCAGUUCCACCUGCCACAGAGGGAAGCCUGAUGGAAAGAGGGUCAGAGUAAAACGGGCUGUCCUCAUGAUUGUCAGCAAAUAUCCUACUUUUGCAAAUUUCUCAAAAUGACCCAGUCAGCACAUUGCGAGGCCCCUUCUAGGGCAGGAGAGGAGCUCGUGCAAGUGAAGGGUCCUGGAGCUGAGCUUCAGUAGCUUCCUGGAAAACCCACCUCUGAG